rnacentral:rRNA from 1 species
CCUACGGGUGGCAGCAGUGAGGAAUAUUGGUCAAUGGGCGGAAGCCUGAACCAGCCAAGUAGCGUGCAGGAUGACGGCCCUACGGGUUGUAAACUGCUUUUAUACGGGAAUAACGCGCCUUACGUGUAGGGCUUUGAGUGUACCGUAUGAAUAAGGACCGGCUAAUUCCGUGCCAGCAGCCGCGGUAAUACGGAAGGUCCGGGCGUUAUCCGGAUUUAUUGGGGUUAAAGGGCGCGUAGGCCGCAUAUCAAGCGUGCGGUGAAAUGUCCGGGCUCAACCCGGGCCUUGCAGCGCGAACUGGCGUGCUUGAGUCCGCGGAAAGCAGGCGGAAUUCGUCGUGUAGCGGUGAAAUGCUUAGAUAUGACGAAGAACCCCGAUUGCGAAGGCAGCUUGCUGCAGCGGAACUGACGCUGAUGCUCGAAAGCGCGGGUAUCGAACAGGAUUAGAUACCCGAGUAGUC